rnacentral:lncRNA from 1 species
UAAGGUAUGAGCCGUCCUUGCAAAUUUUCUCCUUAGGUAACUCAGUGCCUGAGUGGAUUGUUUGAGUCCAGGCUGACUUGGGAGACACAUGGAAGCUAAUGUCCACCUGCCAGCUGUACGUGGGGGUCCAUGCACUUCAAGGCAGUAACAUCUCAGGUCCAGACGGGCACCCAGCAGUGGCAUCCUGGCAGAUGACUUGAGAUCUCUAUCAGAUGAUAGUGGAGGCCUCCAGAGCCUUUUCCUACGCAAGGAACAUCUUUGCUGCCGACGUAUCUUGGGCUCUCACUUGUGCUUGUCCUGGCCAUCCUUGCACAUGGUGUGUCUGCAUGUGUCCAGCUGGAAGAUGAUGGGCAAGACAUGACCAUAAGAGGGGUUUUAUAACCAGCUGGUUAACAAGUGCUCCUUCCCAGCAUGGCUGCUUCCAGAAAUCUCCAGGUUUCGACCUGCUGGCUAUUUCAAGUAAGUCUCAAUGUAUGUAUUUUCUUUUCAUAAGCUCUCCACGGCCAAGCUGUGGCAGCUGAGGGAAACCUGCUCAGUCUUUCAGUAUUAAGAUCUCAAUUAUCAGAGGACUGGUUCUUCCACAGGAUUGUGUGUGUUGGGACUCCUUAAAGUAUUUUCAGAGCUGAAGCAUAAGCGGGGACUCAGCUUGGUGUGGUAUUGGGGGCUCUGAAAAAAAUGCCAGGAGGGAAAGGCCAACCUCGAUUUUUGUCAUCUAAUGCCAC